UCGAGUUGUGCGGUUGUUGUUGUUGUAGCUCUUGAGCACCUAUGUAUCUGGCCUUGGGUGAGUGUGGGUGUUGGUGUGUUGUGGCUGUAUCGGUCCGAUGUGGGUUGUUGCUUUAUAUAUAAAGUGGGGUGAAAGCCUUUUUCAGUAAUUUUAAGCUUUCAUCAAUGGGCUUUUGAUGUUUCAUCAAAAUACAGUACGCAUCGUUCCAGGUUCACAGCCGGCUCCUUUAGACGGAGCGGGGAGCCCUAUAGCUCCCCAGUGGGAGUUUCUCAAAAACUAUAUAUAAAAAAAAAACUCCCGAAUGGGCCUUAUUACGGUUUUCAGAGAUGCUAGUGUGCUUCGGCUAGGACUGGUCCAUCGACUUCAUUCAGCCCAUGCCUGAUGCGAGUAUCUCUCUAGCCGCCAGACCGAGGUUGGAGCCCCUUGCCGCAGCGCGCGCCGCCGCUCCUCCGCGCCCUCCCCUCCGCGGUUGCCGGCGGCCGCAGCGGAUCCGGCGCCCUCAUUGGCCAUUUCCCUCCGCCUGAUUCGGCUUCGGCGAAAGGCCGACCACGUGCUAGCGCUUCGAGAACUCGAUCGACCCUGUUACCGAACAGCGCAUUCCAUCCAUUUUCGCAGAAAUGGAUGGAUUCUCAUGUUAGUGCCUGGCCGUAGCAUUAGUGCCCUUGAUUAGUUGACCUGGUGACGGUGGGGAAGACAUCACCAUAGUGGUAACAAAAAAAAACAUGUAGUCAGUCACAAUGGAGAGACUAGAGACAUGAAAUUUGGUGUUUGUGAAAAUAAACCACCUACCUUACGAUGUUGAUAGCGUUUACAGAGAUGUAGUAACUGA